AAUGAGCAAGGAGCUUUAUUUUGUACAGAUUUAUAGUUCACCUGUUCAAAACUGAAAUAGUUGGUUUUGAAACACUGAAAAACCUGUACCAUUGACUUCACACAACAUUCUAGAAGAUGUGUCAGUGGGAUUUGAGGUUUGGAAAAAAAAAAAAAAGUGUCCUUUACUCAACUGGAAAGUCAGUGACUUAGUGGCAGAUUCAGGACAAGCUGUUAGAUAGUGAGGUCACAAGUCUUGCAGAAGGAGCUAGAAGGAAAAUCAAUAUCCCAAAAAUAUACCUGGAAAUCUGAAAUCAUGAGUAAUUCUAGCAUUCUGCAUGGAUUUAAAAAACUGAAAAGUUUGUGCUUCUAGAAAUUGGUGUUCAUGUAAGAAGAGAAAACUUACUUAGUUUGUUAUCUUCAGCUUCCUUUGGAGGUUCAAAAGAAAAGACUGUUUUAAUUUUUUUUGGUGUAUGUGUGAACUUUGAGGUACCAGUUCUCGGAAAGUUCUCAACUGCCGUUGCAACAUCUUUGAUUCACUUUCCCGUGCAGGCAUCAGACAUUUUGAGAUCCUUUGAACCCUUUUCUUCUCUCAGAGGGUUCAUCUACAAUCAACAUGUUGAACUUGAGUCUUCAGGACUUACUACAGCAGAGCGCCCAGCAAGCUUAGAUAUGUGGCUCCCUCUGACCAACUGAGAAUGUGGGCAAGUUGUGUGAAGUCCAUACUCAUCUGUGAAGCACUAAGGAAGUACCACUCUGGAAAUUGGAAAUGUGGAAGACUUCAGCCUGCUAAUGCCAAGAAAGAGCCAUGAACAGCAAGGGACAGCGACUACAUCUGAGGGUUGCACACUGGCAUAUGAAGAAAAUGAAAUCAGCUCAGUGUUUUGUUCAUUAUACAUUUAUGAGUAUGGACUAGUUUCU
rnacentral:lncRNA from 1 species